rnacentral:rRNA from 1 species
UACGAAGGGGGCUAGCGUUGCUCGGAAUCACUGGGCGUAAAGGGUGCGUGGGCGGGUCUUUAAGUCAGGGGUGAAAUCCUGGAGCUCAACUCCAGAACUGCCUUUGAUACUGAAGAUCUUGAGUUCGGGAGAGGUGAGUGGAACUGCGAGUGUAGAGGUGAAAUUCGUAGAUAUUCGCAAGAACACCAGUGGCGAAGGCGGCUCACUGGCCCGAUACUGACGCUGACGCACGAAAGCGUGGGGAGCAAACAGG